GCUGGCGGUAGGCUUAACACAUGCAAGUCGUGCGAGAAAGUAUCUUCGGAUAUGAGUAGAGCGGCGGACGGGUGAGUAACGCGUAGGAAUCUACCUAGUAGAAGGGGAUAGCCCGGGGAAACUCGGAUUAAUACCGUAUACCUCCUUAGGGAGAAAGAGGGCCUCUCUUGAUGCUCUCGCUAUUAGAUGAGCCUGCGUAAGAUUAGCUUGUUGGUGAGGUAAUGGCUCACCAAGGCUACGAUCUUUAGCUGGUCUGAGAGGACGAUCAGCCACAUUGGGACUGAGACACGGCCCAGACUCCUACGGGAGGCAGCAGUGGGGAAUAUUGGACAAUGGGCGCAAGCCUGAUCCAGCCAUACCGCGUGUGUGAAGAAGGCUCUAGGGUUGUAAAGCACUUUAAGCAGGGAGAAAAAGUUAUAAGUUAAUACCUUAUAACCGUGAUGUUACCUGCAGAAUAAGCACCGGCUAAUUCCGUGCCAGCAGCCGCGGUAAUACGGAAGGUGCAAGCGUUAAUCGGAAUUACUGGGCGUAAAGCGCGCGUAGGUGGUUUGUUAAGUUGGAUGUGAAAGCCCUGGGCUCAACCUAGGAACUGCAUCCAAAACUAACUCACUAGAGUACGAUAGAGGGAGGUAGAAUUCAUAGUGUAGCGGUGGAAUGCGUAGAUAUUAUGAAGAAUACCAGUGGCGAAGGCGGCCUCCUGGAUCUGUACUGACACUGAGGUGCGAAAGCGUGGGUAGCGAACAGGAUUAGAUACCCUGGUAGUCCACGCCGUAAACGAUGACAACUAGCUGUUGGGAGACAAUGUCUUUCAGUGGCGCAGCUAACGUUUUAAGUUGUCCGCC
rnacentral:rRNA from 1 species